GAUGAACGCUGGCGGCGUGCCUAAUACAUGCAAGUCGAGCGAACAGACGAGGAGCUUGCUCCUCUGACGUUAGCGGCGGACGGGUGAGUAACACGUGGAUAACCUCCCUAUAAGUCUGGGAUAACUUCGGGAAACCGGAGCUAAUACCGGAUAAUAUAUUGAACCGCAUGGUUCAAUAGUGAAAGACGGUUUUGCUGUCACUUAUCGCUGGUUCUGCGCCGGAUUAGCUAGUUGGUAAGGUAACGACUUACCAAGGCGACUAUGCGUAGCCGACCUCAUAGGGUGAUCGGCCACACUGGAACUUAGACACGAUCGACAAUCCUACGGUAGGCAGCAGUAGGGAAUGGUACGGAAUGGUGGGAAGCAUGACGGAGCAGCGCCGCGGGAGUGGUGAAGGUGUUCGGAUCGUAAAGCUCUGUUAUUAGCGGAGAAGAAAUGUGUAAGUAACUGUGCAGGGCUUGACGGUACCGGGUCAGAAAGCGACGGCUAACUACGUG
rnacentral:rRNA from 1 species